CGGAGUGUAGCGCAGCCUGGUAGCGCAUCUGCUUUGGGAGCAGAGGGUCGCAGGUUCGAAUCCUGCCACUCCGA
rnacentral:tRNA from 1 species